rnacentral:rRNA from 1 species
CCUACGGGUGGCAGCAGUGAGGAAUAUUGGUCAAUGGAGGCAACUCUGAACCAGCCAAGUAGCGUGCAGGAUGACGGCCCUAUGGGUUGUAAACUGCUUUUAUGCGGGGAUAAACUGAGUCACGUGUGGCUUAUUGCAGGUACCGCCUGAAUAAGGACCGGCUAAUUCCGUGCCAGCAGCCGCGGUAAUACGGAGGGUCCGGGCGUUAUCCGGAUUCAUUGGGCUUAAAGGGAGCGCAGGCGGCCCCUUAAGCGUGGUGUGAAAGGCCGCGGCUCAACUGUGGCACUGCAGUGCGAACUGGCGGGCUUGAGUGCGGUGGAGGUAGAGGGAAUUCGUGGUGUAGCGGUGAAAUGCUUAGAUAUCAGGAGGAACAUCGAUGGCGUAAGCGCUUUACUGUGGCGUAAUUGACGCUGAGGAACGAAAGUGAGGGUAGCGAAUGGGAUUAGAUACCCGAGUAGUC